GGCGCACGCACGUCCUCGGUUGCCCUCGGACGCCCCCGCCAGCCGGAAGCGGGGACCCGGGGAAACCCUGCGGAGGGAAGCGAGAGGGAGAUCCGGCGGGGCGCGAGUUCAAAUCCCCGAACUUCACGGGCUCGCUUUUUCUUUUCUUCUUUUUCUUUUUUUCUUUUUAUUUUUUUUCCUUUUCUUUUUAUGGAUUUCUCAAGACACGGUUUCCCUGUGGCGCCCUGUCUGUCCUGGAACUCUGUAGACCAGGCUGCCCUCACAGGACUCACAGAAAUCCUCCUGUCUCUGCCUCCCAUUCUGGGAUUAAAGCUCCAGGGGGAAAGCAGCUGUGUUAUUGAGAUACCCACAGGCUUUCACAAACAUCUUGAACACCCUGUAAUCAAAACUCGUGAAUCUUGGACUGCACAGUGACCCGAGGCCUCAAGAUUGUAAAAGUUCCUUUGACUCACCACCUGGCGUAUGGUUUUUCUUCUCAGUGUCUCCGGGUCAGAAAGCCCGAGCUCUGCUGCCUGUGGCCCUGGCCAGCUAGAAGUUUGGUUGCCCUGCGGUGUUUGGAAUAAAGUUCGCUUCUGGUUAAUAGA